rnacentral:rRNA from 1 species
UACGUAGGGGGGCUAGCGUUGUCCGGAAUCAUUGGGCGUAAAGCGCGCGUAGGCGGCAUGCCAAGCGUGUGGUGAAAGCCCGGGGCUCAACCCCGGGUCGGCCGUGCGGACUGGCGUGCUCGAGCACUGUAGGGGCGGGUGGAAUUCCGGGUGUAGCGGUGGAAUGCGUAGAGAUCCGGAAGAACACCGGUGGCGAAGGCGGCCCGCUGGGCAGGAAGACACCGCAAGGUGUCGGCUGACGCUGAGGCGCGACAGCGUGGGGAGCAAACAGG